rnacentral:rRNA from 1 species
ACUCCUACGGGAGGCAGCAGUAGGGAAUCUUCCACAAUGGACGAAAGUCUGAUGGAGCAACGCCGCGUGAACGAUGAAGGCUUUCGGGUCGUAAAGUUCUGUUGUAAGGGAAGAACAAGUGCCGCAGGCAAUGGCGGCACCUUGACGGUACCUUGCGAGAAAGCCACGGCUAACUACGUGCCAGCAGCCGCGGUAAUACGUAGGUGGCAAGCGUUGUCCGGAAUUAUUGGGCGUAAAGCGCGCGCAGGCGGCCUCUUAAGUCUGAUGUGAAAGCCCCCGGCUCAACCGGGGAGGGCCAUUGGAAACUGGGAGGCUUGAGUAUAGGAGAGAAGAGUGGAAUUCCACGUGUAGCGGUGAAAUGCGUAGAGAUGUGGAGGAACACCAGUGGCGAAGGCGACUCUUUGGCCUAUAACUGACGCUGAGGCGCGAAAGCGUGGGGAGCAAACAGGAUUAGAUACCCUGGUAGGCUCUGCU